rnacentral:rRNA from 1 species
ACGGGAGGCAGCAGUGGGGAAUGUUGCACAAUGGGCGAAAGCCCGAUGCAGCGACGCCGCGUGAGUGAAGAGGUAUUUCGGUAUGUAAAGCUCUAUCAGCAGGGAAGAAAAAUGACGGUACCUGACUAAGAAGCACCGGCUAAAUACGUGCCAGCAGCCGCGGUAAUACGUAUGGUGCAAGCGUUAUCCGGAUUUACUGGGUGUAAAGGGAGCGCAGGCGGUACGGCAAGUCUGAUGUGAAAGCCCGGGGCUCAACCCCGGUACUGCAUUGGAAACUGUCGAACUAGAGUGUCGGAGGGGUAAGCGGAAUUCCUAGUGUAGCGGUGAAAUGCGUAGAUAUUAGGAGGAACACCAGUGGCGAAGGCGGCUUACUGGACGAUAACUGACGCUGAGGCUCGAAAGCGUGGGGAGCAAACAGGAUUAGAUACCCUGGUA